CUUUCUACUUCAACUCCACUACAUCUCAGAGGAAUAUAUUAUUCUCCAUCCCUCCAAAUCGUCUUUGUGUGGCAUCAUAUUGAAGGAGUAAUUGUGCAUCACUGUGGAUGGUGGAGUGCAACAUCCUCUUGUAAAGCCAGAGGAACGAGGAGAGGUCAUCGAGGAGGGAUCAUCGAGGAGCUAUAGGUGAG